CCUACGGGAGGCUGCAGUGAGGAAUAUUGGUCAAUGGACGAGCGUCUGAACCAGCCAAGUAGCGUGAAGGAUGACUGCCCUAUGGGUUGUAAACUUCUUUUAUAUGGGAAUAAAAUGUUCCACGUGUGGGAUUUUGUAUGUACCAUAUGAAUAAGGAUCGGCUAACUCCGUGCCAGCAGCCGCGGUAAUACGGAGGAUCCGAGCGUUAUCCGGAUUGAUUGGGUGUAAAGGGAGCGUAGGUGGAUUGUUAAGUCAGUUGUGAAAGUUUGCGGCUCAACCGUAAAAUUGCAGUUGAAACUGGCAGUCUUGAGUACAGUAGAGGUGGGCGGAAUUCGUGGUGUAGCGGUGAAAUGCUUAGAUAUCACGAAGAACUCCGAUUGCGAAGGCAGCUCACUGGACUGCAACUGACACUGAGGCUCGAAAGUGUGGGUAUCAAACAGGAUUAGAUACCCCAGUAGUC
rnacentral:rRNA from 1 species